rnacentral:rRNA from 1 species
UGAACGCUGGCGGCGUGCCUAAUACAUGCAAGUCGAGCGAACGGACGAGAAGCUUGCCUCUCUGAUGUUAGCGGCGGACGGGUGAGUAACACGUGGAUAACCUACCUAUAAGACUGGGAUAACUUCGGGAAACCGUAGCUAAUACCGGAUAAUAUUUUGAACCGCAUGGUUCAAAAGUGAAAGACGGUCUUGCUGUCACUUAUAGAUGGAUCCGCGCUGCAUUAGCUAGUUGGUAAGGUAACGGCUUACCAAGGCAACGAUGCAUAGCCGACCUGAGAGGGUGAUCGGCCACACUGGAACUGAGACACGGUCCAGACUCCUACGGGAGGCAGCAGUAGGGAAUCUUCCGCAAUGGGCGAAAGCCUGACGGAGCAACGCCGCGUGAGUGAUGAAGGUCUUCGGAUCGUAAAACUCUGUUAUUAGGGAAGAACAUAUGUGUAAGUAACUGUGCACAUCUUGACGGUACCUAAUCAGAAAGCCACGGCUAACUACGUG